rnacentral:lncRNA from 1 species
AUUCAUUUCCCAUAAGAAUUGGUGUUUCGGGGUGUUCUAUUGGUUGAGGAAUUGGAUCCGUCCUUCUAGGCUGCCUAACCCAUAUGCCAAUGCUAAAAGUGCACCUAAGUCUUUUCAGUAGGUUUUUAUUUAUUAUGUUAUAUCGAUCAUUUUGAAUAGAUUCUUCAUCGGGUGGAAUGCAAAUGUUAUAGGCAUGAAGAAAUCUAGUGAUUAACCUCCCAUAU